ACUCCUACGGGAGGCAGCAGUAGGGAAUCUUAGACAAUGGGCGCAAGCCUGAUCUAGCGAUGCCGCGUGUGUGACGAAGGCCUUAGGGUCGUAAAGCACUUUCGCCAGGGAUGAUAAUGACAGUACCUGGUAAAGAAGUCCCGGCUAACUCCGUGCCAGCAGCCGCGGUAAUACGGAGGGGACUAGCGUUGUUCGGAAUUACUGGGCGUAAAGCGCGCGUAGGCGGAUUAGUUAGUCAGAGGUGAAAUCCCAGGGGCUCAACCCUGGAACUGCCUUUGAUACUGCUAGUCUUGAGUUCGAGAGAGGUGAGUGGAAUUCCGAGUGUAGAGGUGAAAUUCGUAGAUAUUCGGAGGAACACCAGUGGCGAAGGCGGCUCACUGGCUCGAUACUGACGCUGAGGUGCGAAAGUGUGGGGAGCAAACAGGAUUAGAUACCCUGGUAGGAUAGCG
rnacentral:rRNA from 1 species